UAAUUGAAAUUGACGGGAAAUUGAAAUUAACGGGAAAUUGAAAUUGACGGGAAAUCGAAAUUGAUCGAAAUCAUACUGACCGAGAAAUCGAACUCACCGGGAAGUUCAAUUCACCGGGAAAUCGAACUCACCGGGAAAUCGAACUCACCGGGAAAU